AUUGAACGCUGGCGGCAUGCCUUACACAUGCAAGUCGAACGGCAGCACGGGAGCAAUCCUGGUGGCGAGUGGCGAACGGGUGAGUAAAGUAUCGGAACGUGCCCAGCCGUGGGGGAUAACGUAGCGAAAGUUACGCUAAUACCGCAUACGAUCUAUGGAUGAAAGCGGGGGAUCGCAAGACCUCGCGCGAUUGGAGCGGCCGACAUCAGAUUAGGUAGUUGGUGGGGUAAAGGCUCACCAAGCCGACGAUCUGUAGCUGGUCUGAGAGGACGACCAGCCACACUGGGACUGAGACACGGCCCAGACUCCUACGGGAGGCAGCAGUGGGGAAUUUUGGACAAUGGGCGAAAGCCUGAUCCAGCCAUGCCGCGUGCAGGAUGAAGGCCUUCGGGUUGUAAACUGCUUUUGUACGGAACGAAAAGGUUUGGCCUAAUAAGCUGAGCUCAUGACGGUACCGUAAGAAUAAGCACCGGCCAACUACGUGCCAGCCGCCGCAGUAA
rnacentral:rRNA from 1 species